UGUGUCUUUUACGUUUGGUUGCCGUUCCCAGAACUGGGUGCUUGACAGGCGGUGGCGCAGCCUACGUAUUUGAAGAGUAAGUUUUCCCUCAUUCCCGUUUGUUUUGCCCUUUGAGGUGCUCUGGUUUAUCCUAGCGGCUCAAGAGUUUUGUGUUUCGUGUCCUCCUCUACAAUUGUAAUAGAUCUAUUCUGAAUUUGUCUUGAUUCUAGUUACCAUUCUGCGCAUGAUUAUUUAUGUGGCUCAAUCUUCAUUUACAUCGGUUGGAUAUUUUUGGUUGAUCAUGAUUUUUGGUUGAUCCCAUUUUUUGGUUGAUCAUGAUUUUUAGUUGAUCCCAUAAUUUUAAUGAAAAUAACCC
rnacentral:lncRNA from 1 species